UAGCGGCGAACGGGUGCGUAACACGUGGGCAAUCUGUCUUAAAGUGGGGGAUAGCUCGGCGAAAGCCGAAUUAAUACCGCAUGUGAUCAGAGGCGACAUCGCUUCGAAAUCAAAGGUGGCGCAAGCUACCGCUUUUUGAGGAGCCCGCGGCCUAUCAGCUUGUUGGUGAGGUAACGGCUCACCAAGGCGUUGACGGGUAGCUGGUCUGAGAGGACGACCAGUCACACUGGAACUGAGACACGGUCCAGACACCUACGGGUGGCAGCAGUCGAGAAUUUUUCUCAAUGGGGGAAACCCUGAAGGAGCGACGCCGCGUGGAGGAUGAAGGUCUUCGGGUUGUAAACUCCUGUCAUUUGGGAACAAGUGCCGGUACGUAACUGCUACCGGCUUGAUAGUACCAGAAGAGGAAGAGACGGCUAACUCUGUGCCAGCAGCCGCGGUAAUACAGAGGUCUCAAGCGUUGUUCGGAUUCAUUGGGCGUAAAGGGUGCGUAGGUGGCGCCGUAAGUCGGGUGUGAAAUUUCGGAGCUUAACUCCGAAACUGCAUUCGAUACUGCGGUGCUUGAGGACUGGAGAGGAGACUGGAAUUUACGGUGUAGCAGUGAAAUGCGUAGAGAUCGUAAGGAAGACCAGUGGCGAAGGCGGGUCUCUGGACAGUUCC
rnacentral:rRNA from 1 species